rnacentral:rRNA from 1 species
UACGUAGGGGGCAAGCGUUGUUCGGAAUUACUGGGCGUAAAGGGCGCGUAGGCGGCACAGCAAGUCGGGAGUGAAAGCCCGGGGCUCAACCCCGGAACUGCUUUCGAAACUGCUGAGCUAGAGUACAGAAGGGGCAACCGGAAUUCCCAGUGUAGCGGUGAAAUGCGUAGAUAUUGGGAAGAACACCUGAGGCGAAGGCGGGUUGCUGGGCUGAUACUGACGCUGAGGCGCGAAAGCCAGGGGAGCAAACAGG